ensembl:snRNA U5 U5 spliceosomal RNA
GUACUCUGCUUUCUCUUCAGUUCGUAUAAAUCUUUCGCCUUUUACUAAAGAUUUCCGUGGAGAGGAACAUUUAUGAGUUUGUACCCAAUUUUUGGAGGCUUUGCUUUGGUGAGGCU